rnacentral:rRNA from 1 species
GAUGAACGCUCGCGAUAGGCUUAACACAUGCAAGUCGAGGGGCAGCACAAGGUAGCUUGCUAUCUGGGUGGCGACCGGCGCACGGGUGCGUAACGCGUAUGCAACUUGCCCUAUACAGGAGGAUAACCCGUCGAAAGACGGACUAAUACUGCGUAUGCUCACAACUUGGCAUCAAGUGGUGAGGAAAGAAAUUCGGUAUAGGAUAGGCAUGCGUCCCAUUAGCUUGUUGGUGAGGUAACGGCUCACCAAGGCAACGAUGGGUAGGGGAACUGAGAGGUUUAUCCCCCACACUGGUACUGAGACACGGACCAGACUCCUACGGGAGGCAGCAGUGAGGAAUAUUGGUCAAUGGGCGCGAGCCUGAACCAGCCAAGUCGCGUGAAGGAUGACUGUCUUAUGGAUUGUAAACUUCUUUUAGACGGGAAUAACAAGAGUCACGUGUGACUCCCUGCAUGUACCGGAUGAAUAAGCAUCGGCUAACUCCGUG